GAUGAACGCUGGCGGCGUGCUUAACACAUGCAAGUCGAGCGAACAGACGCGGCGUUUGCUCCUCUGACGUUAGCGGCGGACGGGUGAGUCACACGUGGAUACUCUCCCUAUCAUACUGGGAUCACUUCGGGAAACCGGCGCUUAUACCGGAUAAUCUCUUGAUCCACAUGGUUCAAUAGUGAAAGUCGGCUUUGGUGUAUGUUAUCGCUGGUUCUGCGCCGCAGUAGGUAGUAGGUAAGGUAACGGCUUUUCAAGGCAAGGAUGCGUAGCCGACCGGAGAGGGGGAUCGGCCACACUGGAACGGAAACACGGUCCAGACUCCUAAGAGAGGCAGCAGUAGGGAAUGUGCCGCAGUGGGCGAAAGCCUGACGGAACAAGGCCGCGUGAGUGAUGAAGGUCUUCGGAGCGUAAAACUCUGUUAUUGGGGAAGAACAAAUGUGUAAGGAGCCAUAGACGUCUUGACGGUACCGGGUCAAGAAGCCACGGCUAACUACGUG
rnacentral:rRNA from 1 species